rnacentral:rRNA from 1 species
GUGGGGAAUAUUGGGCAAUGGGGGCAACCCUGACCCAGCGACGCCGCGUGGGUGAAGAAAUCCCUCGGGAUGUAAAGCCCUGUUGUAUGGGAAGAGCAGAAGACGGUACCAUACGAGGAAGCCCCGACAAACUACGUGCCAGCAGCCGCGGUAAUACGUAGGGGGCAAGCGUUGUCCGGAAUUACUGGGCGUAAAGCGCACGCAGGCUGAAUUAUAAGUCGGUAGUCAAAUACGGAGGCUCAACUUCCGGAUAUCUAUCGAUACUGUAAAUCUAGAGUAUGUGAGAGGGAAGCGGAAUUCCCGGUGUAGCGGUGAAAUGCGUAGAUAUUGGGAGGAACACCAGUGGCGAAGGCGCCUUUCUGGACUGUGUCUGACGCUGAGAUGCGAAAGCCAGGGUAGCAAACGGGAUUAGAAACCCUAGUAGUCC